rnacentral:rRNA from 1 species
UUGACUGGGGCGGUCUCCUCCUAAAGAGUAACGGAGGAGCACGAAGGUUGGCUAAUCCUGGUCGGACAUCAGGAGGUUAGUGCAAUGGCAUAAGCCAGCUUGACUGCGAGCGUGACGGCGCGAGCAGGUGCGAAAGCAGGUCAUAGUGAUCCGGUGGUUCUGAAUGGAAGGGCCAUCGCUCAACGGAUAAAAGGUACUCCGGGGAUAACAGGCUGAUACCGCCCAAGAGUUCAUAUCGACGGCGGUGUUUGGCACCUCGAUGUCGGCUCAUCACAUCCUGGGGCUGAAGUAGGUCCCAAGGGUAUGGCUGUUCGCCAUUUAAAGUGGUACGCGAGCUGGGUUUAGAACGUCGUGAGACAGUUCGGUCCCUAUCUGCCGUGGGCGCUGGAGAACUGAGGGGGGCUGCUCCUAGUACGAGAGGACCGGAGUGGACGCAUCACUGGUGUUCGGGUUGUCAUGCCAAUGGCACUGCCCGGUAGCUAAAUGCGGAAGAGAUAAGUGCUGAAAGCAUCUAAGCACGAAACUUGCCCCGAGAUGAGUUCUCCCUGACUCCUUGAGAGUCCUGAAGGAACGUUGAAGACGACGACGUUGAUAGGCCGGGUGUGUAAGCGCAGCGAUGCGUUGAGCUAACCGGUACUAAUGAACCGUGAGG